rnacentral:rRNA from 1 species
AUGACUAGAGAUAACCUUAGGAAAAGGCAUAUCAUUAAACCUCUAGAUUGUGUGUUCUGCUCUAAAGUUGAAUCUGUCGAACACUUGUUUUUUGAUUGUGUAGUAGCUAGAUAUGUGUGGGCAAUUUUAGGGGGGCAUUUCAACAUAAAUUUUGGGUCCGAUUACAUGUCCAUUGCCAUGUUUUGGCUAUCUAACAAGCAGAAAUCUGACCUUAAUGCAGCAUGUGCAGCUGCUCUAUGGUAUCUGUGGAAAAUUAGAAAUUCCACGAUAUUUAACAAUACCACAUGGACUUCUGUAAAACAUGUUAUUGGGAAGAUUCACAACUUGGUCAAGAUUUGGGCGAUCUUGUCCACAGAUCAAUGGAAGAAAAGUUUGGAGGGCUUCUCAACCUUCCUCGGGGUGAAAAUGAGGACUGCAUUGGUCAUCAGAAGUGGAUGA